rnacentral:rRNA from 1 species
GAUGAACGCUGGCGGCGUGCCUAAUACAUGCAAGUCGAGCGAACAGACGAGGAGCUUGCUCCUCUGACGUUAGCGGCGGACGUGUGAGUAACACGUGGAUAACCUACCUAUAAGACUGGGAUAACUUCGGGAAACCGGAGCUAAUACCGGAUAAUAUAUUGAACCGCAUGGUUCAAUAGUGAAAGACGGUUUUGCUGUCACUUAUAGAUGGAUCCGCGCCGCAUUAGCUAGUUGGUAAGGUAACGGCUUACCAAGGCAACGAUGCGUAGCCGACCUGAGAGGGUGAUCGGCCACACUGGAACUGAGACACGGUCCAGACUCCUACGGGAGGCAGCAGUAGGGAAUCUUCCGCAAAGGGCGAAAGCCUGACGGAGCAACGCCGCGUGAGUGAUGAAGGUCUUCGGAUCGUAAAACUCUGUUAUUAGGGAAGAACAAAUGUGUAAGUAACUAUGCACGUCUUGACGGUACCUAAUCAGAAAGCCACGGCUAACUACGUG